UACAGAGGGUGCAAGCGUUAAUCGGAAUUACUGGGCGUAAAGCGUGCGUAGACGGUUAUGUAAGUCAGAUGUGAAAGCCCCGGGCUCAACCUGGGAAUUGCAUUUGAGACUGCAUAGCUAGGGUGCGGAAGAGGGAAGCGGAAUUUCCGGUGUAGCGGUGAAAUGCGUAGAUAUCGGAAGGAACACCAGUGGCGAAAGCGGCUUCCUGGCCUGUUCUUGACGCUGAGGCGCGAAAGCUAGGGUAGCAAACGGG
rnacentral:rRNA from 1 species